CAGCCGCCACGGGAAUACGAGGGGAGCUAGCGUUGUUCGGAAUUACUGGGCGUAAAGCGCGCGUAGGCGGCUUUUUAAGUCAGAGGUGAAAGCCCGGGGCUCAACCCCGGAAAUGCCUUUGAAACUGGAAAGCUAGAAUCUUGGAGAGGUCAGUGGAAUUCCGAGUGUAGAGGUGAAAUUCGUAGAUAUUCGGAAGAACACCAGUGGCGAAGGCGACUGACUGGACAAGUAUUGACGCUGAGGUGCGAAAGCGUGGGGAGCAAACAGGAUUAGAUACCCCGGUAGUCCCUGUCUCUUAUAC
rnacentral:rRNA from 1 species